CCUACGGGAGGCAGCAGUGAGGAAUAUUGGUCAAUGGACGCAAGUCUGAACCAGCCAUGCCGCGUGCAGGAAGACGGCUCUAUGAGUUGUAAACUUCUUUUGUACGAGGAUAAACGCAGAUACGCGUGUCUGUCUGAAAGUAUCUUACGAAUAAGGAUCGGCUAACUCCGUGCCAGCAGCCGCGGUAAUACGGAGGAUUCAAGCGUUAUCCGGAUUUAUUGGGUUUAAAGGGUGCGUAGGUGGGCGGAUAAGUUAGAGGUGAAAUCCCGAGGCUCAACUUCGGAAUUGCCUCUGAUACUGGUCGGCGAGAGAGUAGUUGCGGUAGGCGGAAUGUAUGGUGUAGCGGUGAAAUGCUUAGAGAUCAUACAGAACACCGAUUGCGAAGGCAGCUUACCAAGCUACUUCUGACGUUGAGGCACGAAAGCGUGGGGAGCAAACAGGAUUAGAUACCCGGGUAGUC
rnacentral:rRNA from 1 species